AGAACGAACGCUGGCGGCAGGCUUAACACAUGCAAGUCGAACGCCCCGCAAGGGGAGUGGCAGACGGGUGAGUAACACGUGGGAACGUCCCCCCUCGGUUCGGAAUAACUCAGGGAAACUUGAGCUAAUACCGGAUACGUCCGAGAGGAGAAAGAUUUAUCGCCGAGGGAUCGGCCCGCGUCUGAUUAGCUAGUUGGUAGGGUAACGGCCUACCAAGGCGACGAUCAGUAGCUGGUCUGAGAGGAUGACCAGCCACACUGGGACUGAGACACGGCCCAGACUCCUACGGGAGGCAGCAGUGGGGAAUCUUGGACAAUGGCGCAAGCCUGAUCCAGCCAUGCCGCGUGAGUGAUGAAGGCCUUAGGGUUGUAAAGCUCUUUCGACGGGACGAUAAUGACGGUACCCGUAGAAGAAGCCCGGCUAACUUCGUGCCAGCAGCCGC
rnacentral:rRNA from 1 species